rnacentral:rRNA from 1 species
GACGAACGCUGGCGGCGUGCUUAACACAUGCAAGUCGAACGGAAAGGCCCUGCUUUUGUGGGGUGCUCGAGUGGCGAACGGGUGAGUAACACGUGAGUAACCUGCCCUUGACUUUGGGAUAACUUCGGGAAACUGGGGCUAAUACCGGAUAGGAGCUCCUGCUGCGGGGUGGGGGUUGGAAAGGUUCGGCGGUUGGGGAUGGACUCGCGGCUUAUCAGCUUGUUGGUGGGGUAGUGGCUUACCAAGGCUUUGACGGGUAGCCGGCCUGAGAGGGUGGCCGGCCACAUUGGGACUGAGCUACGGCCCAGACUCCUACGGGAGGCAGCAGUGGGGAAUAUUGCACAAUGGGCGGAAGCCUGAUGCAGCAACGCCGCGUGCGGGAUGACGGCCUUCGGGUUGUAAACCGCUUUCGCCUGUGACGAAGCGUGAGUGACGGUAAUGGGUAAAGAAGCACCGGCUAACUACGUG